rnacentral:snoRNA from 1 species
AACCCGUGAUGAGAACACUUUCUUAAAAGAUCCUUAAAUCUCUUUCAUGUGUCAUAUAGUGUCUCAAGCUCAAAUUAAGAAAACUAAGAGAUGUCAUUCCUCAGCUU